rnacentral:rRNA from 1 species
GCAACGAAACUGCCUCGGGGAGCUGUAAGCAAGCUUUGAUCCGGGGGUGUCCGAAUGGGGAAACCCAGCUGGGGUAAUUUCCAGUUACUCAUAACUGAAUACAUAGGUUAUGCAGAGGCAUACCAGGGGAACUGAAACAUCUAAGUACCCUGAGGAAGAGAAAACAAUAGUGAUUCCGUCAGUAGCGGCGAGCGAACGCGGAGAAGCCCAAACCAGA